AAUUUGAAUUGGAUUCAUUUGGUGUGCGUGAGUGCUCUUUCUUUCUCUCUCUCUCUCUCUCCUACGACUCUCUCUCUUCGAUUCCGGUCUAGUUUUACGCCGGAUCGACAAACCGAAGCUACCACGACGCUCCUGACGAAGUUCUCUACAAGUCAGCCGGAACGGAUCGUCAGGAAAACGAAGUUGGAUUUCAUCCCAAAUCCAAGUUCCAGGGUAUUGAUUGGGAACGUUGAGAAUCAUCCCUAAGUUGGGAGCCCCUGAUAGGAGAGCGGGAAAAGUCCCGCUGAUCUAGAUCAGUUGUUUGCCCUCUUUGGAAGGGUAAGUUUUUGGUAGGGAUAGUUAGGUUUUGUGGGAGAUUGUCCCUAGAUUUCAUUUUUGAGAUGUAUAUACUGUGAGAUAGUAAUUGUAGUGACUCUGGUAUGUGUUAUACACAAUAUAAUGAGAUGUAUAUGAUUUUAUACU